ensembl:rRNA 5S_rRNA 5S ribosomal RNA
GUCUAUGGCCAUGCUACCCUCAACAAGCCCGAUCCCAUUUGAUCUCCUGUUUUGGGGGAGCUAAGCAGGGUCAGGCCUGGUUAGCACUUGGAUGGGAGACCACCUAGGAAGACCAGAUGCUGUAGGUG